rnacentral:rRNA from 1 species
UACGGAGGGUGCAAGCGUUAAUCGGAAUUACUGGGCGUAAAGCGCACGCAGGUGGCUGAGUCAGUCGAUUGUGAAAGCCCUGGGCUUAACCUGGGAAUUGCAGUCGAUACUACUCAGCUAGAGUAUGGGAGAGGGCAGUGGAAUUCCCGGUGUAGCGGUGAAAUGCGUAGAUAUCGGGAGGAACAUCAGUGGCGAAGGCGGCUGCCUGGCCCCAAUACUGAC